AAACUCAGUUGUUCCAGAGAUCUUUUAAAUGAUUUUGUGGAAAAACAACAGCACAACAACCUUUUUGAAAGUAAUUAAGAGGCAAGCAACUACCCAAAGAAAAUACAAACUUCAAGGUUCUUCGCUACGGAAGAAAAAGUUAUUACUCUUCUGUGCUAUCACUGAGAAAGGAUUAAUUCUACAUCCUGAGAAGCUUCUCCAUAUGCUUGUGAUGAGUAUGAACCCCCAGUCUUCUGAACAGUCCUGGACUGCUGACCUCACGCUCUGUACCUGGAACUCCAAUAGUGCUACUGAGGCAGGUUCUUGAGGCAAGUGAUUGUUACUGACAUGAGUUCUUUUAUGGGUUUGCUUUUGUACUUCAGGAAAGCUAACCUAGUGUGCAGUGAAAUAGGUAGUGCUUUAAAUAACUAAUAGUUGUGUAAUAUUCAAGUCUUUUUGUGCGCAGAUUAAUAUUCAGCACUUGGAGCAGAUCAGUGUGCUUCAGUGUGGUCCAGCAGAAUCAUUAAACAGGAAGAACCAACAGAUCUGCACAUUUGCUGAAGAAAAGUUAGAGGGGCAGAAGAACGAAGUGAAAAAUGACCCUUUACCAUUAUUGGAAUCUGAAGCUUAGUAAUUCUCAUUUGAGGCAGUAGAUGUGAAUGUAGGUAAAUUUAGGAUUAACUGAUAAUUAACCGUUUUGUUUGUUCUGGCUUCUGCGGCAUUCUUGGGGGGAAAAAAAAAAAAAAAAAAAAGUCACUUUCUUGGUAGAAUUUAUAAGUGUUCUGAAAUAAAUUUUAGAGGGGAAAUCUGACUCCCUGCA
rnacentral:lncRNA from 1 species